ACAAGAUUCUACUCAGCUAGUCCAAAUGGUAAUGUUGUAGCUAGAAGACCUUCAAAGGUUUUUAGUUAAACUGAGGAAAAACAUCUUGUUUUAUUUUCUUUUGGAUAGAGUGGGGAACUUUAUGUUUAUUUAUUUAUUUAUUUAUUUAUUUUGGAGUGGAAUGUGAGUCCUUUUAGGUUUAUUAGGAUUUCUCUAGGGAUGAUUUUGGGAUAAAGAAACUGCUGCAUACAUGAAAGCAUGUAAGGAUUUUUUUCUGCCCUACAGUCAAGAUUUUAUCUAAAGAUUUUCAUUUUAAAAAGGCUUUUAAAUAUAACUACUAAAUAAAUAAACAAUAAUUUAAAUAAUUAACAAUAAUUAUUAACAAUAAUUAAACAAUAAUGUAAAUUUCAGAAUAGACUAAUGUAGCAAGUUGGCAAGUGGGACUUUUCCUGUUCGCUCUGUUAUGGGGCUGAGGUCUGAGAGCUGAGAACAGAAUAUAUUAAUGUCGAGAUUCCAAAGUGGGAUACAGCUUUGCCUGUGUAGAACUUGUUAUGGUCACCGCCCCUGCCAACAAAGCAGUUCUAGGCAGUUCCUUGGAUAUGGUGGUUCUGUGCAGUUCCAUAUAAUUCUGCCAACUCAUUUACAGCUAAUUGGAGAUUGUUGGAUCCAGUGUUCUCUCACUCUAGCUGCAGCCAGGUCAGAAGCCUAUAAGAUGCUGCCACAAAGGCACUGCCCACAUAGGGGCCAUGACCAGUCUCUGGUCAGUGAGCUUCUUUCUCUUUUCGAUUUUUUUUUCUUUCUUAACAGAAGCCAUAGCAAUAUAUUGGCUGUUGGUUACAGGGGCAGAAAUCAGAAAAACACAGAUAACUAACCGAGUCAUAUCCGUGUUGAAAUUGUAAAAUGGUGAUCUACCAAUUUCUGGUAGAGCUCCCUGAAUCCAAGUCUUAAACAAACAACCCCCCCCCCCCCCAAACCCCUUUUUCAUCUGAUUAGUUUCUAUUUAAGUUUUAUAUAAACAUGUUUUUAAGUAUAAGUGAAGUUUAAACUACUGGGAGUAGUGCACAUGGUUUGUCAGUUUAACGGGAGACCAUUUUUUCUGCUUCCAUUCUUCAUACAUAUCUAUUUGAAAUCCUUAUCUGAGUGGUUACAGUUGUUGCACCAGUGAUUCUGUUUGAAGUUUCCGCUGUAAUUCUUGUCCACUUGAGCUAUUGGAACUGACAGCAUCUUCUGUUGCUAUCAUGACUCCUUUAGGCACAAAGUGCAGUUAGAUUUUCUCUCAGGAAAGGAAGUUUCACUAAGAUAGUGUUUAUUUUAUAGAGUAAUAAUCUUUUCUUAAAUGUUGUUCAUACUUCUAUUCUAAAAAGUGCCACUGCCAAAUAAAAUCUUCACUUUUAAGGAGAAAACGUGUACUAGACAAUCGGGAUUUAGUAUAGGGUUAAUGCUAUUGCCUUCUGGUGGCUUUGAUGUAAGCUAUUAAUGUGUGGUUAUAUAGAAAUCUAAUAGGUUAAAGAGAGAAAGGCAUGUCCACAUGCACAUAUACACACAUACACAGAGAAGGAGGGAGAGAUGGAAGGAGAGAGAGAGAAAUACCGCCUUCCUUUCCAGGUUUAUGCUUUCCAUCAUGAACCUGAGAGAAUAAUUCAGCCUGCAUAAGUAACGGCAGGCCUCACUGAGUUUCUUUUGAUUUUCCAGAGAGAAAUUGUAUUGAAAUUCUCAUAGUCACUAUUACCUCUGCCUAGUUAGUAGAUAGUGGGAAUGGCCUUCUCUCUCUCCAAGAAAAAGGUUGAGCGUUUGAGUUAGAGGUACAGAAUGCUCAAGGAACCCCAGUCUGACAUUCUGGCUGUUCUAGUUGAGGACAUUUCUUGCUUUUCUUCCUGGUAGUUUUUCUGUCAGGUAUCUGAAGUACCUUUUGACAACCUCUCUCCAUGACAGCACUUCUUAGCAUUCUUUCUUAUAACUGACUCUCAUCUUAGGGGCCUUUCUUUAGUGGUUGCAAUUCUUCAGUCUCCAAUAGUUCCCAGUAGCAGCUGCUCCCCUGUAGCUUCUGGUAGUGUUAACAGCUGAUUUGAUCCCAGGCCUCUUAUUAGUAACUCCUAUAGAAACAGUGUUCUCAGCCUUCCUUUCUAGCCUCAACUCUUACUAGUUCUUACCUUUCUGUUCUCCUUCCUCAGUGAACAUAUUCAUACCAAUAUGCUUGCAGUUUUUCAAAUAUGAUUCCCUGUUUGAUAUUCCUGCUCCUCUUCAUGUCAGCACCCAACUUGGGCUCAGGUGUUACUUUUUCUAUGAUAUUCCAGAGCUAAUUAGCUGCUACCUCAUUUGUGCCCCUCAUAUAUACUCUAAAUCUGUUAUAGUAUAUAUAAUUCUUUGUUGUUUAUGUCUCCUUUGAGUGGGGCAGAAGAAAGCCCUGCCCAAAUUGCAGAUUCUUGAACAAAAUAGUCUUUUAAGCCACUAAAUUUUGGGAUAAUUUGUUAUGCAGCCAUAGAAACUGAAAUAGAUUUUGGUAUUUGGAAAUGGAGAGCCAUAUAACAGAAACCGAAAAAUGUAGCAGUAGCUGAAGCUAAACUAGACAAAACUAGACAAUGGGC